CGCGUAGGUGGUAGUGUAAGUCUGGGGUGGAAUGCCGGGGCUUAACCCUGGAAUUGCCUUGGAAACUGCAUUACUUGAGUCAGUGAGGGGAGGGUAGAAUUCCUGGUGUAGCGGUGAAAUGCGUAGAUAUCAGGAGGAAGGCCUGUGGCGAAGGCGGCCCUCUGGCGCUGGACUGACACUGAGGCGCGAAAGCGUGGGGAGCAAACAGGAUUAGAUACCCUGGUAGUCCACGCCCUAAACGGUGGGCACUAGGUGUAGGGCUCGUAAGGGUUCUGUGCCGAAGGGAACCAUUAAGUGCCCCGCCUGGGGAGUACGGCCGCAAGGUUGAA
rnacentral:rRNA from 1 species